rnacentral:tRNA from 1 species
UCCCUGGUGGUCUAAUGGCUAAGUCUCCACACUCCCAACGUAGGGGCCUGGGUUUGAUUCCUGGUCAGGGAA